CAGUGUGUAUGUAUGUACAGAGUACUGUACAUGUAUGUAAGUACAUUGUCUAUGUAUGUACAGUGUAUAUGUAUGUGUGUACAGUGUGUGUGUAUGUACCUAUGGAUGUACAAUGUAUAUGUAUUGUAUGUAUGUACAGAGUACUGUAUAUAUGUGUAUGUAGGUACAUUGUCUAUGUAUGUACAGUGUAUAUGUAUGUGUGUUCAUUAUGUAUAUAUGUAUGUAUGUAUGUAUGUGUUUGUACAGUGUAUAUGUAUGUGUGUACAGUGUAUUUGUAUGUGUAUACAGUAUGUACAGUGUAUAUGUAUGUGUGUACAGUGUAUUUGUAUGUGUAUACAGUAUGUACAGUGUAUAUGUAUGUGUGUGUAUAGUGUUUAUGUAUGUACAGUGUAUAUGUAUGUGUAUAUGUGUAUGUACAUGGUGUAUGUGUGUACAGUGUCUGUAUGUAUGUGUGUACAGUGUGUGUAUAGUGUAUAUGUAUGUACAAUGUAUAUGUAUGUGUGUAUAGUGUAUAUGUAUGUACAGUGUAUAUGUAUGUAUGUAUGUAUGUAUGAACAGUGUGUGUAUAUAUGUGUGUACAGCUGGGCCAUAGUUGGCUACCCUCCCACCUUCUGCGGGAGACUCAGUUCACGGUGGAGUUUCCCGCUGCCCCAUAUUUUACAUGAAUUCCCCCAAAUUAAAUUGCAACAUCCUUAAUCAGGAUUGCACAAGUGUGAGUCCAUAUACGACAGGGUGGGUCCUGGACGAGAGGACUGGGCCAGAAGCAAACCCUAUCCACGAGCCUGCUGGUUCCCCCACCCACCUCCUGACCAAAAAACAUCUGACAAGAGCCGUCAAGAAAGGACCCCUCUGCCCCCAUCUAGAUCCCUGCUACACUGUUACUGCAGGUCAGAUGACCGAAGACUACAUUAUUGAAUAUGUUUCUGGAUAAAGACAUAGAUUUUGUCACCGGCCUCCUUGACAUGUACCAUAGCCAUGAAUGUCUAUGGAAGGUGAAAGCGAAGGGGUACUCAGACAAGAUGCAGCGGAAUGCAGCCUUGGAGUAACUAGUGGAUUUCAGCCGGCCCUUUUACUCCAUUACAGACAAGGACUGGGUUAAGAAAAAAAUCCAAAACCUGAGGACUGUGGGGGACAUUCCGACCCAUUCGCACGCAGCAGUUUAUCACUGCGGUGCGAACGGGUGCGGAUUGCGUAUGCACGGCGGCCGCAGUGUGCGAUGUUGCGGGUUACGUCGCGGCUGCCUAUGGAAGCUGUCGCAGAGCCGACCGCAAAGAAGAUUGACAGGAAGAAGGCGUUCCAGGGUGGAUACGGACCAUUUGGAGCCGUUUUCGGGGAGUCGCGAGUAAAACACCAGCGUGUCCAGGAGAGCAGAGGGCAGAUGUCUGACGUCAAAGCCGGCCCCAGCAUUGCUGGAUCCAUUGCACAGGAGUGAAACUCAAGACACGGAGAUUCCAACCACCCCGGACCUCAGCCUAAUCGCUGACACAGAGGACUCCCAGACCCCUGUUCCGUCUGUACCUGAGGCGCCUAUUGCAAAGGAUACCCCUGCAGCACCAGCUGCUCCACCUUACGAACCCCAAGCAUCCCAGAAAAGAACCCGGAAGAAAAGGCACACCAGGCAGGAGGAAGAAGAAGAUGUAAUAUUUAAACAAAUUAAACUGAGACUGGCCCAGCCCCCCGACAGCUUCUCCAAAUUUGGAGAAUCUAUGGCCUGCGCAAUGCACAUCCUGCCCGAUAAUCAAAUUGGGCGCAUCGAGCUCCUCAAUUUUGAAAUGCUCACCAAGGCGCGUAAUAGCCAAUUAAAUUAAAAUAAAUAUAUUUGUGAUGGCCUUCCUUUCACUGCUCCUCUCACCCAAUCCCAGCCUAUUCCACCCAACCAAAGCCAGGCUAUUCCGCCUACCCAACCCCAGCCUACUCUCCCACCCACCUACUCCUCAGGCAUAUACUCUGUUAUGCUGGAGGCAGAGGAGGACAUGCCUCAGUUUGAAUUUUUGUAGGCAUCUUAUAAUUCCCAAUAAAUAUGGUGGUAUAUGCUAUAUGGUGUUUUGGGGCAGAUUUUUGGCGGUGGAUACACGCAUGCUGUAGGUGCAUAAUAAUGGGGCCAGGACUAUUUAUUCUGCACUGUACAGCAUGUGUGUAUUCUCCAAUUCAAAUCUGUGACCAAAACACCAUAUAGCCCUCCAUCUUAGGACUUUAACCUUAAUAAACUGUUGUUUAAAUAUUUUAUUGAUUUGCUUAUUAAACACAAUUGGAAUGUCAUUACUCUAUGCCAUGUUGGCAACACAUUGCACAGUUCUUAAAAAAAUAAUAAUAAUUAAAAUAAAAAAAAUAUAUAUAUAUUUUAUUUUUAUUUUUUUCCUAUAA